CUACGGGCGGCUGCAGUGGGGAAUAUUGCACAAUGGGCGCAAGCCUGAUGCAGCCAUGCCGCGUGUAUGAAGAAGGCCUUCGGGUUGUAAAGUACUUUCAGCGGGGAGGAAGGGAGUAAAGUUAAUACCUUUGCUCAUUGACGUUACCCGCAGAAGAAGCACCGGCUAACGCCGUGCCAGCAGCCGCGGUAAUACGGAGGGUGCAAGCGUUAAUCGGAAUUACUGGGCGUAAAGCGCACGCAGGCGGUUUGUUAGGUCAGAUGUGAAAUCCCCGGGCUCAACCUGGGAACUGCAUCUGAUACUGGGAAGCUUGAGUCUCGUAGAGGGGGGUAGAAUUCCAGGUGUAGCGGUGAAAUGCGUAGAGAUCUGGAGGAAUACCGGUGGCGAAGGCGGCCCCCUGGACGAAGACUGACGCUCAGGUGCGAAAGCGUGGGGAGCAAACAGGAUUAGAUACCCUAGUAGUC
rnacentral:rRNA from 1 species